CCUACGGGAGGCAGCAGUGGGGAAUAUUGCACAAUGGGCGCAAGCCUGAUGCAGCGACGCCGCGUGAGGGAUGACGGCCUUCGGGUUGUAAACCUCUUUCAGUAGGGAAGAAGCGAAAGUGACGGUACCUGCAGAAGAAGCGCCGGCUAGCUACGUGCCAGCAGCCGCGGUAAUACGUAGGGCGCAAGCGUUAUCCGGAAUUAUUGGGCGUAAAGAGCUCGUAGGCGGUUUGUCGCGUCUGCCGUGAAAGUCCGGGGCUCAACUCCGGAUCUGCGGUGGGUACGGGCAGACUAGAGUGAUGUAGGGGAGACUGGAAUUCCUGGUGUAGCGGUGAAAUGCGCAGAUAUCAGGAGGAACACCGAUGGCGAAGGCAGGUCUCUGGGCAUUAACUGACGCUGAGGAGCGAAAGCAUGGGGAGCGAACAGGAUUAGAUACCCUGGUAGUCCAUGCCGUAAACGUUGGGCACUAGGUGUGGGGGACAUUCCACGUUUUCCGCGCCGUAGCUAACGCAUUAAGUGCCCCGCCUGGGGAGUACGGCCGCAAGGCAAAACUCAAAGGAAUUGACGGCGNGAGACGNGCGAGACGACGACGAGGGAGAGG
rnacentral:rRNA from 1 species